UACGUAGGGUGCAAGCGUUGUCCGGAAUUAUUGGGCGUAAAGAGCUCGUAGGCGGUGUGUCGCGUCGGCCGUGAAAACCUGGGGCUUAACUCUGGGCGUGCGGUCGAUACGGGCAUCACUGGAGUUCGGCAGGGGAGACUGGAAUUCCUGGCGUAGCGGUGAAAUGCGCAGAUAUCAGGAGGAACACCGGUGGCGAAGGCGGGUCUCUGGGCCGAUACUGACGCUGAGGAGCGAAAGCGUGGGGAGCGAACAGG
rnacentral:rRNA from 1 species